rnacentral:lncRNA from 1 species
GUUGGAUGUAUGGCAGGACUUGACAUGAUAGGAUUAUAAGUGACAAUAUUAGAGAGAAUGUUACAAGAAAUCAAUGCAUAACUGAGCAACACCCUCAUUUUUUGCCAUAAUUUAGUCCGAAUAUGUAUCUUCACAAUAGUCUCAUAUCCACAACAAUUUGUAAUUGAGCCAAUCCCCUUAUUUUUCCAUAGUUUAAUAUGGAGAUGCAUCUCCAUAACAAAUACAGAUAUG